UACGUAGGUGGCAAGCGUUGUCCGGAUUUACUGGGCGUAAAGAGCGCGCAGGCGGUUGGGUAAGUCGAAUGUGAAAGCCCCCGGCUCAACUGGGGAGGGUCAUUCGAUACUGUCCGACUCGAAGGCAGGAGAGGGAAGCGGAAUUCCCGGUGUAGUGGUGAAAUGCGUAGAUAUCGGGAGGAACACCGGUGGCGAAGGCGGCAUCCUGGACCGGCAUUGACGCUGAGGCGCGAAAGCCAAGGGAGCAAACGGG
rnacentral:rRNA from 1 species